GACGAACGCUGGCGGCGUGCUUAACACAUGCAAGUCGAACGGAAAGGCCUUUUCGGAGGUACUCGAGUGGCGAACGGGUGAGUAACACGUGGGUGAUCUGCCCUGCACUCUGGGAUAAGCCUGGGAAACUGGGUCUAAUACCGGAUAGGACCGCACUUUAGUGUGUGUGGUGGAAAGUUGUUUCGGUGUAGGAUGAGCCCGCGGCCUAUCAGCUUGUUGGUGGGGUAAUGGCCUACCAAGGCGGCGACGGGUAGCCGGACUGGGAGGUUGGUCGGCCACAUUGGGACUGAGAUACGGCCCAGACUCCUACGGGAGGCAGCAGUGGGGAAUAUUGCACAAUGGGCGCAAGCCUGAUGCAGCGACGCCGCGUGGGGGAUGACGGCCUUCGGGUUGUAAACUCCUUUCGCCAGGGACGAAGCGUUUUGUGACGGUACCUGGAGAAGAAGCACCGGCUAACUACGUG
rnacentral:rRNA from 1 species